AUUGAACGCUGGCGGCAGGCCUAACACAUGCAAGUCGAACGAGUGGCGGACGGGUGAGUAAUGUCUGGGAAACUGCCUGAUGGCGGGGGAUAACUCCUGGAAACGGUAGCUAAUACCGCAUACCAUCAGAUGUGCCCAGAUGGGAUUAGCUUGUUGGUGGGGUAACGGGUCAGCAAGGCGACGAUCCCUCGCUGGUCUGAGCGGAUGACCAGCCGCACUGGAACUGAGGCACGGUCCAGCGUCCGCCGGGAGGAAGCAGGGGUGAAUAGUGCACAAUGGGCGCAAGCCUGAUGCAGCCAUGCCGCGUGUAUGAAGAUGGCCUUCGGGUUGUAAAGUACUUUCAGCGGGGAGGCGUGACCCGCAGAAGAAGCACCGGCUAACUCCGUGCCAGCCGCCGCGGUAAUAC
rnacentral:rRNA from 1 species